GUGUAUUUCAUUGGUAUAUUGGCUUUCCAUCCGGUGAUGUGGAGAGAGCUUUCACGGUAGCUUAGUAUUAAUACCUAAGUGUCAAUUCAAGUUUCAUAAACUUGAAAAAGGCUCACCCUAACUUAUUUGGCAUUCGUUUUUGCUUGUGAAGUUGGGACAAGGAGCUUAUUCCAGGUGUUACUGUGGAAAUCCAGUAAGAGAUUUUGGAGCAGAGGCCACAGAUGCACUUGGGUGCAUGAGGAAGCCAGGAGAAGGUGCCGAGAGUGGGACUCUGGGUCAAUGCCAGUCAAUCAGGAUAUUUAUCUGGAAACCACCCUGUAAUUUGGAAAUGAAGCUGGAAGCCAAGAGAUUGGUACCUGAACAGAAGCCAGGACUCCUGCAGGACCAUACAGUGAGGUACUGUAAGGUUCAAGUCAGACCCGACUGUCUCAGCCCACAACCUGCUUGUCCGCAGAGGCACUAUUCUCAGCAGGGAACUCAGCUCAGCACCGAAGCUGCCAUGGACAAGCACAGGAAAGAAGACAGAUAGGACAAGGAAUCUUGCAGGUCCUGGGAACAUCUGGUAACGUCUGGAGACAUCCAAAAAUUUACGCUGGAUACUUCAAGGACACUGCUCACUGAAGUGCAAGACUGCCAGAGAGCUCUGAUCGUAGAUGUGUUUUAGAAUCUCCCUGCCUAAGAAAGGGACCCUGCCUUCUUUCCAUCCCUAUAAAAGGGACACACUUCUAUUUGCUCCCAGAAGAUCGCCUUACCACUCUCUACCUGCCUGCACCCAGGCACAAUAAAUUUCAUGCCAUAUUGGCUUUACACAAGCCUGGUGGUCUCCGCUGGCCCCCGCCCCCCACAGGUUAUAGGUGCACCCCUGGCUCACACUCCCUUCUCAGCCUUUUCAUCUCUCAUCUGACUUACAUGGCUUCCCCUUCCCAACCUGCAGGUGCAACUCCACUGCUACCUCCUCAAAGAACACUAUGUGGACCACCCUCUGUAAUUUAGGUCUUCUCUCCUGUUUCUUAUGACAGCAUCCUAUGUCUUUCCUCCCUAGCUCUAACCACAAACUACACUUUUAAUGUAUUUCUUCUUUUUAUGAUAAUACAUUUCUUUCAGGAGACUGUGAGUUCCUUGAGAACAAAGCCCUCGUGUCCUGCUCACUGCUGUAACUCCAGUGGCCUGGAGAGCACUGGGCAUGCAUAGGCUCUCAAGAGAUGAAUGGAUAUUGACACAUGAGUGCAUGUUCUUCCUGCUCAGAUCUCGUGGAUUCCUGCUCAUCCUCCAAAGUCUAUCAGGCCCCAAAGGUACUUCUCCGGGAAGACUUCUCACAGCCUCCCUGAUCAAGACUGUCCUUUGAGUGCAAAAAUUGUGAUCUGCAUACCAACAACAUGUGAUUAAAUACAUUGCAUUGUAACUGAGUUGAAGGCCUAAUAAUGCCAAGAGACUAUGAGUUGCUUGAGUACCCAGCUCCAGCUCCACAUAUGCGUUGUGAUCAAACAUUCAUCCUUUUGUACCUGCAAUGCUACUUACAUCAAGAGAAGCCAUCCCCUUUUAAUAACUUUAAUUGAAUCCAGAGCUGAGUGGGGCGAGAAGUGAGGAGAGAGAGCAAAGACAACAUGAAAAUAGCUACAGCAUUAGAUUCUGUGGAACAUCCUAGUUAAUUAUUCAUCGAUUGUACACCUACCCAUAAAACACAGAUUUAUGACUUGAGGCUUAUAUCUGCAGCAUAACACAAACUUCGCCAUCUAGUGGUGGAUUUUUGAACCUCAGACAUGUGUCUUUUAUUUAUUUACCAACCCCCCAGCAGCUGCAGUAUUUAUGAACCACCACAUAGGUGCCAAUAAUUAACCAGGGGAAACCUAGGUCCUCAUCUAGUCAUUCAUAUGUUGCUCACUUCCUAGAGGAAAACGUUGUUUGGAGUUUUGGUGCUGAUAUUUUGGUGCUGACAUGUUUAGAUAAACAGACCCACGCACAUAGAAGUCAGGUACCUUGGUGCAAAGGUCAAACACUUGGGGCCUAAUAUAAGUUGCUUUUGCUCUUUCUUCAUUAGUAACUACAAAAAAUGUAAACAAGUUGGAGGGAUUUAAAAACCAAAAGUUUGCACAUAUGCAUGAAUGCCCCACAUGGACUUAGGUAUUGACCUUCAGAUCUGGCGCCAGCAGCUUGUGUUCAUAGAUUUCAACAGUUUGCUGGAGCUGAGAAGUGGUUGCCCCUUUACACCAAACCACAUGUCCAACCCCGUAUGCUUUCCUGUCCUCUAAUUCCUUUGCGUUUGAGCUCUUCUCUGUUUCUUGAGAUAUCCGGAUAUCUGUGGGAUUUGAUUCUCCGCAUUUAUUCUUAAGGAAGGACAUCAUCAAAUGUCUCUAAUCACUUUUUUCCAAGAAGGAUCUUUUCUUUUUCCAGCAGAAGCAAUCAUAACUGCACAAUUAUCAAGGGGAUAAUACACAUUGUGAUGACCUGUAGAUGAAAGGCUAUUUAUUUUGUUGGGUUUCUGUUCCUUUUAAAAAUAAUCUCCUUGCUCACAUCCUCAUAUGUGACUAUUUUCCUUCCCCUCUUUGCUUGGGAAGAGAGAAGGUACUUUUAGAGAUGUUAACUAUUUCUUCCUUUUAGGUCUUCAAUGGAUACUUAACUGAUAGUUGCUCAGUGCCAAGACCUCUGCUUCAUGCAGGAGAUGUAGCCCAGAAGGCAACAUACAAAUAUGUGUCCCUUGUGGAGCUAAUGAUGUGGACAUUGUAAAAACCCACAUAGUCACAUGAAGAGCUCUGGACCUAAUAUAGGGGUGGAAAUAGUGUCAGAGGGGUUUCCCUAUUGAAAAUACCAUCAAAGCUUAGAACUCAGAAGGAUGAUUAGCCAAGGAGGGCAAAGCCUUCAUAAAGAGUUUAAAAAAAUUGUUGGGUGUAGAAAAACAUUCAAUAGUGUCUAUGAGUUUCACCAAGUGGCACAGCUUUAUUUUGAGAGAGGUGGGAACAGCUGAAGCUAUGUGCAGGGAAGGGAGUGUUCAGAUGGCUAUUUUCAGAAAACCACUCUAUUCAGAGCUCCAUUUUAAGAGACUUGCCUGAGAGUAGGGAUGCUAGUUCCUUUGGACACUUCCUACCUGGAGUCUGUAAGGUCAAAAGUGUUGUGAAGCAUGCCGGCAGAGGCAUCCUUAGCACCAAGACCGAGCGCUGAUGGCUGUUGCCCUGCCUCUCUGGCCUCUCCUAUUUUGCCUUUUUAAUUCUUAUUGCUCUGGGUCCCCUUUCCUUGUAGUUUCCCCUGUUUUCUCUGCAGUUCUCUCCUCACUUUCCAAGGAUGUCAGUCAUCUUCCUGGAGCUGUUGUGGCUUUGUCGUUGCCUGGAGAACCACAGCAACAAGGUCAUGAACUCUUCCACCCACCCUAGGGAUCCUUUCUACUCAAAAGUUAGCUUCAAAGCCUACUUGGAAGGAGUCAGUGUGAAGCAAAAAGUCCACAAGCAUUUCCUUGGAGUCCUGGCACCGGAAGGUCUUUCUCUUGUUCCCUUUGCUUGAUUCCCAGCUGGUCAGGAGCCUGAACUUCUGCCUACCCAUCCUCCUAUUGGCAGCUCCCAGCAAUGCCCUGGGACUCUUAAGGAAGCUAGGAGUAAAGACUUGAGGAUAGAAGAUACUUAGAUAGUGAUCAAGCCCUAUACCUCCCAAGGACCUUUCUGCCUUUGCAACAGGGAUUGGUCAAUCUCCUCUUUAAAUGAACUGGUACAGGUGUUGGACACACUUGGGUUCUGGCUUGCACAGUGACAGUCACUAGCUGUAUGGGCCCAGCACACAUUCCACUCCUUUGGGCUCUAGUUUCCUUUCCUAUAAAGUAGGAAUAAUAAUCCCAGUUUAGCCUACUUCACAAGGUUAUUGUAAAGAUGGGAAAAUGACCCUAUAGAUCAUUCAAUCAUUUACAAAAUGUUUAUUGAUUAUUCAGCCAUCUGCCAGCCACUGGGAGAUGAAUGCCUUUGUUAAACUGUAACGUGUUGUGCAAAUAUGACAUUCUCAGAUGCAGAAAAUUCACUAUCAUCUGGCUCAGAGUGGGUGUGUGUAUUUUGUUUCCCUUGCCUUUUGUCUGGCCUCCAGGUACAAGCAAUAGCUAGGUACUUGGAUACUGUCCACCCAUGAGCAUGCAAAGUGAGACUUAACAAAUAGACAAUAUCAAUCGUAUUGAUCUAUGUUGACAAAACCUCUGUGUAGUUGGAAGCUUCAUUAAGUCUCACACUAGAAGGCUCUGUAUAAUAGGAUGGUUCAUCAUAGUUUUCAUGUUACUCCAGUACUGACAAGUAGGACCCUAAAGAAGGAGAGCCUGGAAACACCUGGGGCCAGGGCAACCCCCUACCCACAAAUCCCUAAGUUUUGCUGACUCCUAGGCUUCCUUCUUUCUCCUUCUUUACUUUUAUAAUGAAGAGGGAGUCAUUAUGGGAGGCACGGGGAGUGGGGGGCAGUAUGGGAUUUAGGUCCUCAAUGUGAAACAGAUGGGACCUUCAAAUUAGAACAAUUUAGGAAGGUUUAUUUACAGAGGGAAACACAAAGAAUCAUGAGGUCACUCAGGGGUAGUAACAGCUGAGCUGUCACCACCGAGGCCCAAAGGGAUGAAGGGAGGGGACUGCAUCCUUAGCCAGAAGGACAGAGCCAUCUGGAAAACUUGUGGACAUAAUUGUCAGUGGUUGGGCAAGAGAUCGUGGUAGUGCUAAUGUAGAAGUGCAGGAUAGUGAGAGAGAAAGGUGAAAAUAGAGUUAUUUCAAAGACAGACCUAUGUAGGCUUGCAUACAGAAUGGAUUGUGAGGAAGAAGAAAAAGAGAGGAAAGGGCAACUUGUGGGCUUCACAAACAGGGUGAGUGGUGAUGUUGUUACUUUCCACUGGGAACAUGAUAAAGGGCUGGGGUUGUGUUGGAGGAACUACAUUCAAUCUGAGACUUGCUAGGUUAAGAAGAUUGUGUAACAUCUAUGUGGAGAUUUCUGUUAUUCUCUUGGAUAUGGUACCUGCAUUGCAAAAGAGAGACUUCAACUGGAAAUACAGAAUUAUAUUACAUGCAAAAAAUGAAAAUUACACAUCUUAAAGGCUAGCAUGUAAGAUGUUCAAGGCCCUGUGAAAUCUGAUACUUAGAAAGUAAAGAAACCAGUCCUUAGCACUUUGAAAAUUGUCUUUGCUACCAUCCUGGAAUUAUGGCCAUUUGUGAAAGAGAUAAUAAAUAUCUUUAUGGGAUC
rnacentral:lncRNA from 1 species